GUAGCACCCUACACGGAAUGCCUUAAAACUGAAUUGAAGGGGUGGGCCGUGAAUAGAAUCAGCCAUUGCUUUUUGGAACCCAGAUAGCUUUUUAUGGUCCUGUUGAGUUACUCAGGUUAGCAAUAGGAGGAAUAAUGGCAAACAAGACAUUCUCGGGGAUUCAUCUGCCCUUGGGUAGCCCCUUCGGUGAGUCGGGUCUAACCUGACCCAGGCAUCCUUGAUGACCUUUUCAGGGAGAUCAGGACAUACGAAGUGAGUACUCGCAAACCAUCCCCGGCCUGGCAAGGCGGAAGGGGAGGCUUUCAGUUUGCCGAAAAGGACCUGUGACAGAGUAAAUGCUUCUCUGAUUAGCGGGUUCACUGCCCACAGUUUGAAUUGGGGCCAGUGCCAGGAUCUGGGGAACCUUUCCUCCCCCACAGACAAAAAAAAAAAAAGUGUGUGGAGGGGCCGUCUGCCCGUACCGGCCUGUCACGAGUCCUGUUUCUUGUGAAAGCACAGAGAAACGUACUUUUACGUUGCGCUGUGUUUCGGGAUCUUGACCAUGGUUUACAUUCCAUUUUUUAAAAAAUGAUUGCGUUUCCUAGAUCUUUAUAAAAGCAUUCCUGGUAAAGUGCCAUUUGCUCUCCAUCCUGCUGUCUGCUGUUUCUGCGGGUUCACAGAUAAUUAAGGUACACUCUUCACUCCGGACUUAAUAUUUUACUUUGUUGCUAAAGACAGUCAAAUGCAAGGGGUUCUGCCUAGCUGUUCAUUUAAAUAAACACUUGGUGGUGUUGUAUGUCCUGCCUAGCCCGGGGCAGAGGGUGAAGGCUGUGAUAAGAAUGCUGGCCUCAGGGCGCCUGGGUGGCGCAGUCGGUCAAGCACCUGACUUUGGCUCAGGUCGCGAUCUCGCGGCUCCUGAGUUCGAGCCCCGCGUCGGGCUCUGGGCUGAGCGCUCUGAGCCUGGAGCCUGCUUCGGAAUCUGUCUCCCUCUCUCUCUCGGUGUCUCCCCCACUCGUUCUCUCUC